rnacentral:rRNA from 1 species
GAUGAACGCUGGCGGCGUGCCUAAUACAUGCCAGUCGAGCGAACAGACGAGGAGCUUGCUCCUCUGACGUUAGCGGCGGACGGGUAAGUAACACGUGGAUAACCUACCUAUAAGACUGGGAUAACUUCGGGAAACCGGAGCUAAUACCGGAUAACAUGUUGAACCGCAUGGUUCAACAGUGAAAGACGGUCUUGCUGUCACUUAUAGAUGGAUCCGCGCCGCAUUAGCUAGUUGGUAAGGUAACGGCUUACCAAGGCAACGAUGCGUAGCCGACCUGAGAGGGUGAUCGGCCACACUGGAACUGAGACACGGUCCAGACUCCUACGGGAGGCAGCAGUAGGGAAUCUUCCGCAAUGGGCGAAAGCCUGACGGAGCAACGCCGCGUGAGUGAAGAAGGUCUUCGGAUCGUAAAACUCUGUUAUUAGGGAAGAACAAAUGUGUAAGUAACUAUGCACGUCUUGACGGUACCUAAUCAGAAAGCCACGGCUAACUACGUG